GAUUUUUUAUCUUACUCUAUUGCAAUGAGGCAUGUUUAAUAACCUGUUCGAGCAACCAGUGAAGGGCAAGUCUGGUGCCAGCAGCCGCGGUAAUUCCAGCUUCACGAGUGUAUAUUUAAGUUGUUGCAGUUAAAAAGCUCGUAGUUGAACUUCUGUUUGUUCAGGAGGCGUGCAAGCGCAAUCUGGGCGAACAUCCGCCUGAAAAAUCAUUCGGGUCUUCACUGAUUCAGUGAUGGAUCAGGCAUUUUACUUUGAAAAAAUUAGAGUGUUCAAAGCAGGCUUUCGCCUGAAUACAUUAGCAUGGAAUAAUAGAAUAGGACGCUGUUCAAUUUGUUGGUUAUUGAAUUGCGUAAUGAUUAAUAGGGACAGUUGGGGGCAUUUGUAUUUAAUUGUCAGAGGUAAAAUUCUUGGAUUUAUUAAAGACAAACUUAUGCGAAAGCAUUUGCCAAGGAUGUUUUCAUUAAUCAAGAACGAAAGUUAGAGGAUCAAAGACGAUCAGAUACCGUCCUAGUUUUAACUAUAAACUAUGCCGACUCGGUCUCAGUCAAGUCUUCCUAACUUGAUUGGUGCCGUAUGAGAAAUCAAAGUCUUUGGGUUCCGGGGGGAGUAUGGUCGCAAGGUUGAAACUUAAAGGAAUAGACGGAACAUCACUACCAGGUGUGGAUCCUGCGGCUUAAUUUGACCCAACACGGGGAAACUUACCAGCGCAAAACAAGGGUGGGAUUGACAGAUUGAGAGCUCUUUCUUGAUUCUUUGGAUAGUGGUGCAUGGCCGUUCUUAGUUGGUGGAGUGAUUUGUCUGCUUAAUUGCGUUAACGAACCAGACCUCAACCUACUUACUAGACGCGUGAUUUACCCAUCUCGCGUUCUUCCUAGAGGGACUGUGCGGAGACAAACGCAAGGAAGUUUGAGGCAAUAACAGGUCUGUGAUGCCCUUAGAUGUGCUGGGCCGCACGCGGGAUACAAUGACCCGUUCAGAAAGUAUAACCUGACCCGGAAGGGAGUGGGUAAUCUUUUUAAUGCGGGUCGUGCUAGGGUUCGAUCUUUGCAAUUAUAGAUCUUGAACGAGGAAUACCUAGUAAGUGCAAGUCAUCAGCUUGUACUGAUUACGUCCCUGGUGUUUGUACUCACCGCCCGUCGCUCCUACCAAUUUCGAAUGAUCCGGUGAACCUUUUGGAUUGGGUGCAAGCCUAAGAAGUUAAGUAAACCUUAUCAUUUAGAGGAAGGAGAAGUC
rnacentral:rRNA from 1 species